rnacentral:snoRNA from 1 species
ACCAAUUCUGGGGGAGAAUAAUAGUUCCUCUUGGCAUAAUGGCUCAGACGCAAAAGGGAAAGAAGAGUGGCAUAUCCUGAUCAAUGGACUCUUUCACUGUGCUAUUGCAUCCUGGAAACACCACUUACAUAU